GAUGAAGAACGCAGUGAAAUGCGAUAAGUAAUGUGAAUUGCAGAAUUCAGUGAAUCAUCGAAUCUUUGAACGCACCUUGCGCCCUUUGGCUAUUCCAAAGGGCAUGCCUGUUUGAGUAUCAUGAACACCUCAACUCUCAUGGUCUGCCAUGAUGAGCUUGGACUUUGGAGGUCUGCUGGCCUGUGGUCAGCUCCUCUCAAAUGAAUCAGCUUUCCGGUGUUUGGUGGCAUCAUGGGUGUGAUAAAUAUCUACGCUUGUGGUUUUCCACCAGGUAACCUUCAGUGAUGGGGGUUCGCUGGGGCUCAUAAAUGUCUCUCCUCAGCGAAGACAGCUUUGUGAAUGUUUGAUCUCAAAUCAGGUAGGACUACCCGCUGAACUUAAGCAUAUCAAUAAGCGGAGGA
rnacentral:misc_RNA from 1 species